UACGUAGGGCGCGAGCGUUGUCCGGAUUUAUUGGGCGUAAAGGGCGCGUAGGCGGCCUUCUAAGUCGAACGUGAAAUCCCCGGGCUCAACCCGGGAACUGCGUCCGAUACUGGAAGGCUUGAAUCCGGGAGAGGGAUGUGGAAUUCCAGGUGUAGCGGUGAAAUGCGUAGAUAUCUGGAGGAACACCGGUGGCGAAGGCGACAUCCUGGACCGGUAUUGACGCUGAGGCGCGAAAGCCAGGGGAGCAAACGGG
rnacentral:rRNA from 1 species